UCCUGCAAGCUGUGCGCCUUGGUAAAUGCAACACGAUUUUUUAGUUGUCUUCUGUUUAAUGCUGGUUUCUGAGCACUAAUUCGGCCAUUAAGACCACUGCGUGAGAGAAUUCGACAAACUGUUCUUGUAGUUACAGGGGUUCCUGGUGACCAGUUCUAAUGUAGCUCUGCUGCAGUUGAAAAAGGGCUGGCCCUGGACUGUCGAACCAGCAAACAGUCCUCUCGAACAGUUGUCCUAUGGGGUCUGCCUGACCUGGGUCUGUCAUAAACUUCACCAGUUUCUUCAAAUGUUUUUCUUAUCCUCUCCACUUGACGUUUAGAUACAUUAAAGAUGUCUGCCACCUCAGCAGGAGACUUGGUCUUCAGACUCUUGAUGAUCAGCAUUUUGGUCUGUUGUUGAAUCUUUGGCAUGCUGUCAGAGGUCAGGAUGUAUUUCAGAUGAAGGUUGGGUGUGCUGGGGUUCUUCUACACACCUGGGAAUGUGUUAAUUACAGUAUUUGUCACAGGUGAUACUCUAUUCUGUGAUUGGUUGAAUCCAUUAAAGAUGUGACAAGACUUUUGUCUAAGCAAAGUCUGACCUUUCUGUACUAAUUAAAUAAAAAAAUAAAGGCAUUAUACAUUUUAUAUAGGUAAAAUAAGCAUAAUCUAGAGGCCUUUGCCUUUCAUAUAAAGCCUAAAUCAGUGGUUUUUAUGUCUGAAAUAACAUAUGCUCACUAUAGUCUCCAAAAAUUAAUUGUUGCCCUUCUUUGAUUCUAGUUUACUGUAGUGCUGUAACUGGACUGGUGUGGUGGUUGUAACGGUUGUGUAUUGCAAGCUGAAUUAAUCUCAAACAACUACAUAAACAGUUAACUGAAGGAAAGAGAAUGAAUUGAUAACAAACAGCCUUCUGUGUUCUGUGGCUUUGGUUGAAGGAUCUGAUCUGUGAAUGUAUGAAACCUGCAGCUCCUCAGAACUCUAACUUUUUUUUCCCC